GUCUCCGUAGCUCAGCUGGACAGAGCACAGGUUUCCUAGACACAAAUUGGGCGCCGCGAAGGGAAACCACGCGGCGGAUCCGCUCAAAUUCGGGGAAAGCUCACAGCGCCCGCGAGGGCGCCUGCCGAUCCCGAGCCAAGCCUGCGAUCACCGCAGGAAGGUGUAGAGACUAGACGGGCGGCACCUAAAGGCUUCGUUCCGAGGCCUACGGUGAAGGGAUAGUCCAGACCACGAACACCCGAGGGACAGCCCCAGGGUGGCGGUGAAAACCGAAGUGGUAUGAAACCUGGGGUCGCAGGUUCGAGCCCUGCCGGGGACGCCA
rnacentral:tRNA from 1 species